AAAUAAAAUUUUUUAUAGUUUAUAAAUUUUAUUUAAAAUUUAUUUUGCAUAUAAAUUUUGGUAUAAAUUUUUAAUUAUUUUAAUAAUAAUUAAUUUAAUUUAGUAGCAAUUAAUAUUAAAAAUUUAAGAAAUUAAGAUUUAGUAAUAUUUAAAUUAAUAACAAAUUUUGUGCCAGCAGUUGCGGUUAAACAAAGAUUAGAUUGAAUUUUAUUAGUAAUUAAUAAAUAAAUGUGUUAUAUUAAUUUUAAUUAAAUAUUAAAUUAUUAGGUGAAAUUUUAAUUUAAUUAAAAUUAAAUUGAUUUUUAUGAUUUAAUAAAUUUUAAUUAUAAACUAGGAUUAGAUACCCUAUUAUUAAAAAUUUAAAUUAAUAAUGCUAAAAUAGUAUGUAAUUAUUUAUUGAAACUUAAAUAAUUUGGCGGUAUUUUAGUUCAUUUAGAGGAAUCUGUUUAAUAAUUGAUAAUUCACGAAUAAAUUCACUUAAUUUAUUAUUUUGUAUAUCGUUGUUAUAAAAAUAUUUUUAAAUAAUAAUAAUAUUUAAGAUUUAUUAAAGAAGUUAAAUCAGAUCAAGAUGCAGAUUAUAAUUAAGAAUAUAAUGGAUUACAAUAAAUUUAUUUAAUAAUGAAUAUUAAUUUGUAAAAAUUAAUUGAAGGUGGAUUUAAAUGUAAUUUUAUUUAAUUUAUUAAAAUGAUUAAAAAUUAAAAUAUGUACAUAUUGCCCGUCGCUUUCAUAAAUAAAUUGGAAUAAGUCGUAACAAAGUAGAGGUACUGGAAAGUGUUUCUAGAAAUAA
rnacentral:ncRNA from 1 species